rnacentral:lncRNA from 1 species
UUUCUGUAUUUUCCUUUCAUUCCUUUUAUACACUACAAAAAUAUAUCAGUAAAAAUUGACUAGUUUAGGGGGUCAGCUGGCUUUUGCAACUUUUAUUCUAGUCGUAUUUGACUAUUUUCUAGAACAUAAUUAAAAAUAGUUUCUGACUAGAAUAUAAGUCAGAAAUGGGACUAGACAUCAGUUAUACCUAGAUGAUUACUGAUCUAGUAAAUUUAACUGAUUUGUUUCAAGAGUGUAUUUUUGGAAUGGUUCUACAAUUGCUAAAGGCAUAUUUCUCGUUUAUUUGAAUAUACAGAAAAAAUCAACAAGCACUGUGAAUUCAUUCGAAUGUCGGAUAUGAAAGAUGACAUAAAAGUAUGCUAGUUUUGUGUAUUCACAGAUUAUUUAAGCACAACAAAGACGGUGUGCAAAAUAAGCAAAUGAAAUCGAUAAAAUUACACUACCAAAAUACUAUUUUUGCCUUUAUUUUAUCUUCUUGAAUUCUUGAACCUAUAGGAAUCGAAAUAUUUUUUUAUCUCUAAAAAAUGUAAAACGAUCCAACCUUUCAUUUACUUGGCAUAAAUAUUACCAUUAAAAUAAAUUAAGAACUUUUUUUAUCUUUAUAUGAAUGAUUCAUAUUUAUAUAAAAAGGAACUAAAAAGGAAAUUGUGACAUUGGGUCUCUCUCUCUCUCUUGUCAAGACAAUUCUCUUGUUGAAUUCAUAGAUGGAUUUCUUAUUUCAGUUUUGUGUGUAGAAAUGUAUUGACCGUUCUUUUCUUUCUUCUGUGGAGGGUUUGAAGCUGAGAUUAUCGCCGGCUUUUGUUAUUUUCCAUUUCUUGAAUGGUGCAUAUCCAAUAAUAACUAAAGAAAGAAAUAUAAAUAACGACAAAGAAUAAACCAAAAUUGUCAAGAAUCACAUAUAGCUUUAUUCCUCGUGUCUUUGAGAGAACUAUAAUGAAUAAUUCGAACUUAAAAAGACAAGCUCUAUUCAGCGACUUCGGUUCAAUUUUCUCAAUUAAGAAAGACAUUUAGGAUAUUCACAGAUUGGAUGAUAUUAAAUUGUAUUGCAACUUUUGAAUCUUCAUUCUCAAUUUUCCCUUUUAUGAGAUUUUUAUUCCACCUUUCAUAUAGCUGUUUCUCGAUUCUAUAUAAAAUCAAUAUACAUUCGCCGUUACAAUAGAUUUUCUUUAAUGAUUUCUUAUGUCUGCAUAAGUUCUUGUUUUACCCUUGCAACUUUUCAACUUUAGAACUUAUUAUACGUGACUACCCGUCCCCGAUAGAAUAAUCGCUACAAAUCUUAUACAAGGUUUCAUUUCUAGAGAAAUACGUAUUGAUUUUUUGAAUUUGAUGUUUUAAUAUAAUGGCGGUUUGGAAAUCGUCUCUCGUAACUCCGAUACCCUGUUCAAUCUGGAGAGCUUUGCAUGGAAUAAGAUAUUGUAUGCGAACAUGUCAUUUCUAAACUCCUCAAAAAAAACUUGAAUGUUUUAGACUUCAAAAGUCACAUAUACAGACACACGUAAAUAAAAGUACAUUUACUUUGCAUAAUAGAUAUGCAGAUAUUAAUUCACUUGAAUCAAUGACUUUGACACAUUUCAAUAUAGUAUUGAGUAGAAUUAUAAUUCAAUAUACCAAUCAUUCAAUUGCUAUUGUUCAUGUAACUGAAUAUAAACUCAUAAAGCUUUCGUCGAAAAUUCUUUUUCUAAUCUAUUAUACGAAAUUAAGUUGAUUCAUCAACAAUGAAUACGUCAUUAUAACAAAUAUUUGACUUAUAAAACGAGAAGUCUGACACCAAAUUUAAGAUGACCAUAUCUCUAAAUUUUUAAAAUACUAAUGACAGUAUUCUUUUUUGAACCAGCAAGUUAGAAUAUUUGAGGUUCGGAAUAAAUAAAAUGCAGCUUAUGAAAAAAUGUAUCAUCACGAUGGAAUACCCAUGUUUAUGUUUUUAUUGAAAGGAGUUAAUUAGACUGAACUUUCAUCCGAUGAAAUCUGAUUUUGGACUUGAAUUUCAAAAGUUUAGU